ACAAAAUGGUUAUUGAAAAAAAGAAUUUUCGCCACGUAAUUUCAAAAUUCCCUCAUUUAAAAAGUUUUAGUGGAGCAAUGAUAUUGCAAGCCUUCAACCACAUGCACCCUGCAUGCAUUCCAAAAAUGGGAAUGCAGAGGUUCCUGGCGGAUUCAUUACUUCUGGACAAAACGGAAUACCCGAUGUUCAAGUGUGUGUACAUUAGGGCCUGUACCAUGCUGUUGGGGACAUUGAAAUCAAGAGGAUGCAAGAGGCCUGCUGAGGACUUGGAUCUGCCCUCUCGUUUCAUUGUAGCGGCCCCUCUCAUCAGAUGGGUCGAGGAAAACAAUUUAGCAGGAUACAUGAU